rnacentral:rRNA from 1 species
GAUGAACGCUGGCGGCGUGCCUAAUACAUGCAAGUCGAGCGAACAGACGAGGAGCUUGCUCCUCUGACGUUAGCGGCGGACGGGUGGGGAACACGUGGAUAACCUACCUAUAAGACUGGGAUAAAUUCGGGAAACCGGAGCUUAUACCGGAUAAUAUAUUGAACCGCAUGGUUCAAUAGUGAAAGACGGUUUUGCUGUCACUUAUAGAUGGAUCCGCGCCGCAUUAGCUAGUUGGUAAGGUAACGGCUUAACAAGGCAACGAUGCGUAGCCGACCUGAGAGGGUGAUCGGCCACACUGGAACUGAGACACGGUCCAGACUCCUACGGGAGGCAGCAGUAGGGAAUCUUCCGCAAUGGGCGAAAGCCUGACGGAGCAACGCCGCGUGAGUGAUGAAGGUCUUCGGAUCGUAAAACUCUGUUAUUAGGGAAGAACAAAUGUGUAAGUAACUAUGCACGUCUUGACGGUACCUAAUCAGAAAGCCACGGCUAACUACGUG